GUUGCCGGCGCUGGGGUCAGGCCCCAGGCGCCUCCUCCUGGGCCCGCGGGCUUUGGCACCGCCUGGCCUCCCCCAGACCCCGCUCCCGGGCGGGCCGGACCCGCGGCCUCCGACCUCGGGAACGGCCGCCACUCCGAGCGGCUUCUCGACUCCGAGGCUGGGCCGGUCGUGCGUCCUCCGGCUGAGCCGGGCAGAGCCGCCAGGAAGGGUCAAUUAUUCAUGGGGCGCCUGGGCGUGCUCCCAAGACCUGCUCUGCCCUCAGCUUCUCCGGAGAAGUGGGGAGAAAACAAGGCAAAAAGUUCCCAAAGUUGGCCACGUUUCUCAUUUUCCCAAAUUGCUUCCCCAUGACAACUGGUCGGGGCAGGUGACCCACUUCCUUCUCUGAUCCCUUUUUAAACUUGAGGAAUGUCCACUUCUGGGGGCAGUUGGGAGGAAUAAAAGCAAGUAAUGUAUGACACGG